AUACGGAGGAUGCGAGCGUUAUCCGGAUUUAUUGGGUUUAAAGGGAGCGUAGGCGGGAGCUUAAGUCAGCGGUUAAAUGGUGCGGCCCAACCGUGCCCUGCCGUUGAAACUGGGUUUCUUGAGAGUGCAAGAGGCGGAGGGAAUUAUUGGGGUGGCGGUGAAAUGCUUAGAUAUCAUGAAGAACUCCGAUUGCGAAGGCAGUCCGCUGGGGCACGUCUGACGCUGAUGCUCGAAGGUGCGGGAAUCAAACAGGAUUAGAUACCCUGGUAGUCCGCACGGUAAACGAUGAUUACCCGCUGUCGGCGGUAGACAGUCGGCGGCCAAGCGAAAGCGAUAAGUAAUCCACCUGGGGAGUACGCCGGCAACGGUGAAACUCAAAUGAAUUGACGGGG
rnacentral:rRNA from 1 species